rnacentral:rRNA from 1 species
CCUACGGGGGGCAGCAGUGGGGAAUAUUGGACAAUGGGGGGAACCCUGAUCCAGUCAUGCCGCGUGUGUGAAGAAGGCCCUCGGGUUGUAAAGCACUUUCAGUGAGGAAGAACGCCUGGUGGUUAAUACCCAUCAGGAAAGACAUCACUCACAGAAGAAGCACCGGCUAACUCCGUGCCAGCAGCCGCGGUAAUACGGAGGGUGCGAGCGUUAAUCGGAAUUACUGGGCGUAAAGCGCGCGUAGGUGGCUUGAUAAGCCGGUUGUGAAAGCCCCGGGCUCAACCUGGGAACGGCAUCCGGAACUGUCAAGCUAGAGUGCAGGAGAGGAAGGUAGAAUUCCCGGUGUAGCGGUGAAAUGCGUAGAGAUCGGGAGGAAGACCAGUGGCGAAGGCGGCCUUCUGGACUGACACUGACACUGAGGUGCGAAAGCGUGGGUAGCAAACAGGAUUAGAUACCCCUGUAGUC